GACGAACGCUGGCGGCGUGCUUAACACAUGCAAGUCGAGCGGUAAGGCCCUUUCGGGGGUACACGAGCGGCGAACGGGUGAGUAACACGUGGGUGACCUGCCCUCAGCUCUGGGAUAAGCCUGGGAAACCGGGUCUAAUACCGGAUAUGACUCCAUGACGCAUGCUGUGGGGUGGAAAGCCUUGUGCGGCUGAGGAUGGGCCCGCGGCCUAUCAGCUUGUUGGUGGGGUGAUGGCCUACCAAGGCGACGACGGGUAGCCGGCCUGAGAGGGCGACCGGCCACACUGGGACUGAGACACGGCCCAGACUCCUACGGGAGGCAGCAGUGGGGAAUCUUGCGCAAUGGGCGAAAGCCUGACGCAGCGACGCCGCGUGAGGGAUGACGGCCU
rnacentral:rRNA from 1 species